GAUGGAUUUCCUCCGUCUCAUUUAGUUAUCAAUGUUAUUUAAAAUAUCUAUCACAAAAUAUUUGUCAAUUCAUAAAAUCAAAUAGAAUUAUCAAAUGCAGAUGAUCAUUAAAUAUAUUGCUUAAUUUAACAAUAAUAGUAAGAAAGAUACUGUCAAAUUCUACUUUUUAUUUUUAUUUAGGUGAAAUGGUCUCGUAGACAUUUGUAUUUUUCUGAAUUUGUAAAGUGAACGUCUCUACUUAGAUUUUUGUCAUCUAAACCCCCAACUCAAUAAAAUUCGAUAUUUUAAAUCCUAUUUUGAUGUGUGUAACACAAUUGCUGUCACAUCAGCUUUCACAUAGAUUCCACGUCAUAUUCCAAUUAGAGAUAGAAAAUAAUCUCUUUUCUUAUAUAAAAAAAAAAAAAAAAAACUUAACUCCCCCUCCCCCACGCCCCACCCCUUCAUCUUUAGUCUUCAAUAACAUCUUCCCUUCUCUCCUCUCUCCUCUCACCUCCAUUUUUUAAUAACACCUUCACUAGCCACCCCUCUAUGGCAUUUGAAAAUUCACAUCACAAAUGAAUUAAAAAAAUUAAAAACUUUACUUGAAAAAAUUAUAGUGUUUAAAAUUUCUUGUUUAGUUUGAAAAGAUUUUUAGUUAGAAUUAUUCAUUGAGAAAAUUCUCAUAAAGUGUUUCAAAUCCACACAAAUCAAACUAACAAACGACUUAGUUGGAAACACUACCAUUACAGGGAGUAUUUGAGCAGUUGUGGUGUUUUGGUUGUUGUUAUGAUGUGGAAAAGUGUGUUAAACUUGUUUAUUUAUGGAAUUAGAGGAUUGAGAAUGGAGGAAAUGGGGUGGGGUGGGGUGUUAGGAAUUGGCCUCCACCACCACCGUUUUAGUCUAGUCCUUGUAAAUAUUUCAAUAUUGGACUUUUGUAUACUCAGUCCAAUCCAUUCAUUAUUUAAGUUGGUUUGGUUCUAUUUUGUAUAUAGAAGGAUAUGAUUUGGAACUGGACGGUUUUUGCCAUUUUGACUCUCAUACACAAAUGAGAACACAUUUCUCUUUCAUUCUUCUCUCUCCUAACAAGGGUUUUCAUUUCUUUUAUUGGUUUGCUUUCGUGUUUGCUGUGAGUUUUCAUGGUAUCAGAGCCAGGGAUUCGGCUAGAUCUGCUCUUUCUCUUUCAAUCGAUGGUUCCCGUGAAGCUUUUUGUUGAGUUUUGAAGUUGGAAGUUUGACCCGAUUCAGCAUUUUCAUACGCAAAUUUCUAUUUGUUUGUGCCGUAACUUCCAUUGUUGAGUAUUGUUGAGCAAGGCUUUUGCUUCUUCAAGUUGUGAAGAAGAGUGGUAAUGGUUCAGAGGCCCAGUCUAGGGGUCAAGAGAAUCAGUAAAUCUUUCGGACAGAGUUGCAGAGACAAGUGGAUUAUCAGACAGAUAGGGGUGUUUCGGGCCUCCUUGGUUUGAAAUGCUCGUCACGGCCAAGCCCUGGUUCAAGUCAUGAUAUCACCUAUCCUUCAUUACAUAUAAUUGUAAAGUCGCAUGGACUAAAUUGCAGGAUGAACAACGAGUUCAUCAGUUUUUAGCUAAAUUGAAUUACUCUUACAAUGGGAUUAGGCAAAAUAUUUUAAUGAUUAAGCCUCUUCCAGAUAUAGAUAGCGUGUAUUCCAUGCUAAUCCAUGAUGAACAACAGUCUGAGUUGCAAACUUCUCUUCCAUCAUUUACGUCUGACUCUGUCUCCUUUUCUGCAGCUGGUAAUCGCAAGUUUUAUCCCCAAAAGAUCAAUUUUGAUAGUCGUAAAUCUAAUCAGUCCUUUGAUAGUAGAAAAUCAAAUUUCUCAUACAACCAGAGUCAAGGUUUGUUCUAUAAGUACUGUAAGAAACCAGGACAUACCAUUGGUAGAUGUAGAAAGUUACUUGGUUAUCCCUCAGAAUAUCAACAGUUUCCCAGAGAUCAAAAAUCUGUUGCUUGUGUUCAACCUGCUGAUGUUAUUCCCCAAGGGGUUCUUCGCUCU